UCCCUGGUGGUCUAGUGGUUAAGAUUCGGCACUCUCACUGCAGCGGCCCGGCUUCGUUUCCCGGUCAGAGAC
rnacentral:tRNA from 1 species